rnacentral:misc_RNA from 1 species
AUUUUUUUUUUUUUUUUUUUGGGUGGUUGUGCAAUAGUAGAAGUUUAUAUCUGUGAAAAAAGAGUUGAGGAAACGAGUGAAAGCCACUUUUUAUGACAACCAAUUUUUCUUAUUAAGACAUCCGAGUGACAAAAACAUACAAGUUCCAAUAAUAUAAUUUUUUUAAAACUAUUGGGCCUCCGAAAUCCAAAAAACAGUAUGGAUGGUGAACGGGCCUUAUAGGCAGUCAUCAUAACAUUGUUUAGUGAGAGGUCAAGUGUAAAAUUUAUUGUUUUCUAGAUGUAAAAUUAUAAUCUUGGAAUUUUCUUUCCCUCGUGCUUAAAUUGUAGGCAGCCUAUAUUGCUCCAUCACUUGGUUAAUGGCUUCUUUAUUCUUCUGCUUCCAGAAUUUGAGGGGAGGUGAUUUCU